UCUCUCUCUCUCUCGUUCAUUUUUCCUCUCUUUUUCUCAGCUUCAUUCUCGGACUCCCUCUUCCUUCUCCCUGCGAAGGUGGCCAUGUGGCGAUUUACUCCGAUGGUUUACAAUAUCUGAAAUGGUUGGAUUGAGAUUUUAGAGUAUCAAACUCUGUUAAUCGGUUAGAAAGUUAUGGUUUUGAUUCUGUAGUUAGGGUUUUUGUGGUUGAUUUUAUGAUUUUGUGGUUUAUUUUUCAGGUUAUAGACUGGAUCAAUUUUUACCGGUGAGUUUUAAAGCUAACAAGAUAUGGGUUUUGUUUGGUUUUCUUAUAAACUUAGGGUGUUGAUUUUGUAGUUAGGGUUCUUAAGCUAACAACAGUCAUUUUCAUCAAAUUUGCUAAGGUGAAGGAACAAGGUUUUGCCAGAAGGAAAAAUCAGCCAGCGUUUUGUAAGCUGAAAACCAACUGAUGACGUCGAAUUAAAUGGGGAUUUCAUCUGCAAUAACAACUCAAUAUCAUAACAAUACUUUUCAUGCUUACAAUUUCUAUAAUAAAGGCAUUCUUUCUUUCAGGCCCAUUGAAAAGUUUAGAUAUAUGAAGAAGAAUAUUGGCAUGUGCUGAUUUCAAAGAUUUCAGGAUGAUGGAAACCACAAAGAUUAUCAUUUCAAUAUUUUAGCGUGUCGAUUUGGUUUUGUAACUGAAGCUUCAAGAGAAAUGGGAUUGUCAGUCAUCAACAGUGCAACCAUUGUGGAAACAAUGCUAAAAGCUGUUACUCUGAUUUCAUUUGACAGGAUAUGAAGGAGCAAGGUGUUUUAGAGGACAAAUUAGUAUUUUUGAAGGGUGUUAGUGGUUCAUCCAAACCUGGUGUUCUCACUGCUUUGAUGGGUGUAUGUGGAGCUAGAAAACUUUCAUGUGGUUUCCAAGUCGGUAACACUAUAUUAGCAUAAAACGGGUUUCAAGCAUUCCAAGCACAAUAAUUUGUUUUCACCGGUGGUACUUUUGUUUGCGACAAAAACAAGCAUGGCAUACCUCCAAAAAAAACAUUACUUCAGACCAUGAUAUUAUAUAUGUAAAAUAGAAAAUGAUCUUUUAAUAGGUUUGUUGAUGUAUAUAUGGCUUACAAAUAUUAUUCCAUUAUGUUAUAUCAGAUUCUCUUUUAACAUUUUCUUUGUUUAUAAUGUUCUUUACUAAUGUAAUGACCCUACUUUUAAA